AACCACAGCUGAUUCCAGUCUGGCUUAGACUCAGUGGCAUUACUUAUACAGUAAAAGGAGGACUUUGAGGAAACAGAAACAGAAAAAGACAAAAUCUGUCUGGAUGAGGAAGAGUAAGAGCAAGGGGCCCAUGGAGAAGAGCAGGCCCAAGGAGAGGGCAAGUCCAGACUCAGCCUGACCCUCAGUCCGGGUUCUGCCUGACGGACCUGCGUUGUGGUGGUGGUGGUGAUCAGCAGGCCUGCCCCUCUGAUCCGACUGAUGGUGGCGGGAGUCCGAAGAAUCAUCUCUGCAGGUGGAUCUGCCCAGACAGUUAUUACUGUUUCCUCUCACAGUGUCUGCUCCUUGAACCUUCGGUCGGUGAACGGGAAGGAGAGAUUUUCUUCUGAGGCGGCACAUGGUCACCUGGUUUUCUUUUCUGUCCCGGCAAAGCCUGACCCUUUGCGUUGUGGUGGUGAUCAGCAGGCCUGGGCCUCUGAUCCGACUGAUUAUGACAACUGUGAGAGUAUUCUCUGCUGGUGCUGGAUUCACAUUUUGGAACCUGGAACCUUCUUUCAGCAUUUGACCGGUGGAGACAGAUUUUCUUGGGAGGCAGACCAUCAUCAUGAUUAAUCUUCUUCUUUCUCUGCUCUUCAUUUCCGCUGGACUGGGUGGUGGUGCAGGAAAGUAGGCCGGUGUGCUGCAUGGGGCUGGUCAUUUUUCUCCCCUCGGAAUGAGAUGGAGGAUUCUGCUAGAAGGGGUUUGUAGCAGUGGGCUGGGGAUGCAUCAGUGGCCCACACACUGCUGUCAGAAGUCAGGAUGUUCUUCUGAAAGAGUUCCAUAGUUUGAAAACUGGACCUGACACUGCAAGAAAAUGAAUUCUUUCAUUAGCUCAGUUUAUCAUGUGUUUGAGAUAGUGAAGAUGAAUAAGACAUAUUGUAAGGACCUGUACAUGAACUGUAUCCACAGAAACAAAGGUACAAGUGGAAUAAAUACAGAAAAAAAUAAAUGAUAUAUUAAAAAACAUUUAACCAGAUCACAUUGAUGACUUACUAGUUGCUUUGUUGGUCCAUGCUGGCGAUGUGGCGCAUGCUGAUGAAGUUGUGCUCCAGCAGCUGAUGGGGUGUGAUCCUUGUUUUGGGAUCAAGCUUAAGCAUCGCCUUCAGCAUGUCCACAAACAUGUGGACGUCGGAAAUCUCUGCAGCUCUAUUUGCAGGGUUGCAAAUGUUGAUGGGUCGGACCUAAAAAACAAAUAUGUCAUUAGUUAGCUCCAGUAGUGAAUAAAGAAAACCUCUCUUGGACGUCUUAGAGAAAUAAGCUCAUGAUGAACUAUUCGAAAGAAGACAUACGUUCACAAUGUGGUCCAGGGAGGUGAACUUUAAACUCCUGUUCUCUAUUGGUUGCUUCCCCGUCUCCUUGCAGUACAACUCUGGUGUCUGUUCAAAAAGUGUUGUUGUUAGCAGAGUACAUCAGAUUUGCACAAAUGUAUAGAGGGAACCAAAUAUGUUGCAGCAAGUAUAUAGACAUAUUUGAAUAUAACAUGCCUUUUUAGGUCAGCACCUUGAGUUUCCAGAAGGAGUAGCUGAAGCUGACUUCUAAUUUGAAGAAUUUAGGAGUCUUAUGUCCACGGUUCAGCAUGGCUUCAGGUAGCUGACCCUGUGUAUCAAUGAUGUACUUGAUCUGAAAAUAAAACACAACUUAGAGUCCA